GCGCCUCCUAUGGGAAUUAAUUUGAAUUUACGAUGGUUUUGAAAUUAGAAAUGAGGCCCCUCUUCACCUAUAAAUGAGAGGGCCUACCCUUUGUAUGAAUUCACUUUUGAGCUUAGAGAAUUGUUGUAAAUUGAUUUCCAGCUUUGUGCUCUUAAGUCACCUCUGAAGUUUUACUUCUUCUCUCUUUCUCAAGCUUCCUUCCUCUAUAGGAAGGCCCCCU
rnacentral:lncRNA from 1 species